UUAGUGGCGAACGGGUGAGUAACACGUGAGUAACCUGCCCCUUACUUUCCUGGAUAACUGCUCGAAAGGGUAGCUAAUACGGGAUAUUCUGACUAGUCUGCAUGGGUUGGUUUGGAAAGGUUGUUUUUCUGGUAAAGGAUGGGCUCGCGGCCUAUCAGCUUGUUGGUGGGGUGAUGGCCUACCAAGGCUUUGACGGGUAGCCGGCCUGAGAGGGUGGACGGUCACACUGGGACUGAGAUACGGCCCAG
rnacentral:rRNA from 1 species